UUAUGUAAAGUGUAAAGCACAUUAAAUUUUCCAUUUAAAAGAGUAAAUAGCUACAUCAG
rnacentral:tRNA from 1 species